ACAUCAACUAUUGUUGAAUUGCACUGCGUUUAGUAGAAAAAUAUCUGGAAUACUUAGACAUAACAGUUGGAGUUUGUCAAUUCAUCAAACUGUUUCAAAGUUCCAAAGAUGACUUCUGAUUUAGUGAUGAUUCCUGAUCAACUUGUUUCCUAUGAAGAAUUAUCAGAAUUCGUAGAAUAAUGAUAAUAUCCAAUUACCAGGCGAAAUGCUCCCAAAUACUACUCAAAGCUACACCAAAGGCGCCUAUUAGAGCAGUCUGACUUUAAUGGACCACUUAGGGAUCUAAAGCAAGAUACAGCCACAGGAUGAACCACCUUGGAAAAAACAAUGAUCGAGCCAAUGGAACUUUGAGAGAUGUGGAGUGGCCAGACCCUUCCCUCGUUCCAUCCUGCCAGCUUCUUGGGGGUACCCCAUCACCACUCCGAAGUCCCUCUGCAUGGUGCUGGCUGGGUCUCCCAGGUCGCCUAAUUGGAUGGAAGGAAACUGAUGUGAGCAGGACUUGCACAGACUCAAAAGAAUUGUAGAGUUGAAAGCGACUACAAGGAUCACUUCUCUGCAGUGUGCAGUAAAAGCAAUUAAACUUCCUAUGACAGGCGAUUUAAACUCAGUGACAUGUUUCCUCUCAACAAGUUUUUCGAUGGCAGAUAAACUAAGGAGUAGCAGAGCAGCCAGGUGAAUGGCUCAAGGAGGUGUUGCCUGCACAAGGACUUUUCUUAGUGGACAGAUCAAGCACUCCGUCUGCAACAACAUGAGUGUAAUUUAAGAAUGGGAAAGAAUGGGAAAACCAAACACAUAUUUGAAAACUUAUUAAGGUCUUAACUUGUUAAUCUAGGUUCAAUUCAAUGACUCUUCCUGAACUUCGCAUUACAGUAUCUUAGCACAUCAAUAA